UACCAGACUCCUACGGGAGGCAGCAGUGGGGAAUAUUGGGCAAUGGGCGCAAGCCUGACCCAGCAACGCCGCGUGAAGGAAGAAGGCUUUCGGGUUGUAAACUUCUUUUCUCAGGGACGAAUAGAUGACGGUACCUGAGGAAUAAGCCACGGCUAACUACGUGCCAGCAGCCGCGGUAAUACGUAGGGAGCAAGCGUUGUCCGGAAUUACUGGGUGUAAAGGGAGCGUAGGCGGGGAUGCAAGUUGGGUGUCAAAACUAUCGGCUCAACCGAUAGUCGCACUCAAAACUGCAGCUCUUGAGUGAAGUAGAGGCAGGCGGAAUUCCUAGUGUAGCGGUGAAAUGCGUAGAUAUUAGGAGGAACACCAGUGGCGAAGGCGGCCUGCUGGGCUUUUACUGACGCUGAGGCUCGAAAGUGUGGGGAGCAAACAGGAUUAGAUACCCGCGUAAUA
rnacentral:rRNA from 1 species